GGUCUGAUGCCACGUCGACGGUAGCCAAUGAGCAUUGACCGACGAUGCUAUGAUUGGACCAAAAUCAAUUCUUUGUUUCGCAUUUUUGAUAGGAAUCUGUGGACCGAUGAAAUUCAGUUCGUUCACAGAGCCGGUUUGUGCGAUUACAUUU